AGAGACUCAACAAAAACUCUAAA
rnacentral:snRNA from 1 species